rnacentral:sRNA from 1 species
CCCGGGCGUUUGCCAACUUUUCUCACUUUCUCUUCCACCGCCCCCCAAAGGGGGAAAAAAAUGUCGACAGGGAUGAAGAAGUUGAGGAAACCGUCAAUAUGGAACCAACCUAGAUGAUGACCCACAGACUGAACUAAGGUUCAGAGAAUGAGGAAGCUCGUUCCAGGAAGAAAAACCAAGUACAGCUGGAGAAACAGAAGGAAAGUGUGUCGAAACAGCAUUUGACUGCAAUGGUAUAAAGUCUGGGAAACAGUUUGGAGCUACAUUACGUCAGGACCCAGCCAAAGAAUUUACAUGUGGAAAGCACCAGUACAGCCUCUAAGGACGCUAUCCUACCACUACAAAUAACAAUGAGUCCUUCAAGCCUGUAAUCCAGCACUCCUGAGACUGAAUAAAACAAGAGCAUCACUCUUCAAUCAAGGCCAGCCUCGGCUACAUAGCGAGUUUCAGUUGGCAGCCAUGGUGCUGAAGGACCUAUGAAGCUGUGGUUCAGAUGUCCUUGGCUCCUGUGGGGUUUUAAUCUGGAAAGAAAACAGGGCCAUCGGAUGGGAAUAACUUGCUACAAAGACUCUUCUUGUGAAGCUGGAUGUGGUGGUACUGACCUGUAAUCCUAGAACAUGAGACUGAGGCAGGGGGAUCACUGUCUCAAAAAGAGCAUUAGGAGCAUGGACACAUUGGCCAGUACCCCACCCUCUGCGCCCUCUUAUGCCUGACGGAAUUAAGAAAGUGACUAAGCACUUCAGCCAACACCUAGAAGGGACUUGCCUGAGACAUGAGAUGGGAGUCCUGUGGCCUCAGCUCCUGCUUGCUGCUUUUUUGACGCGCGUUCUUUAAGGUUUGAAGCCCCACCCUCUGACUGACAUCACAGAGGUCAUCUCCAAAUCCAUAUCAAGACUUCUUCCCCACAGUCCACGUAACUCCAUGUAACCUCUAAGUUGGGGUCCUCCACAAACCGUGACAGCCUAAGGAUGCUCCUCCUGUCCUUUAGUAGCAUGAUGGAUUCCUCCUUAUCCUGAAGUAAGGAAAUGGGGCCCAGGGUUGUUAACUGGCUUGCCCAAGAGUAUACACUUGGUUCACUGGAGAACAAGAAGGAGAGACAGAUUCUCUGACCCAACCUACAAAUUUUUGUCAGCUAGAUAAAGACGCUGGGUGAACAGUUUGGAAUUCUAUUUUUAUUGAAGCUUUCCCCAAAGAUUUGGUCUCUUUUACAGUCUUUUUCUUACAAGAUGUUUAUAAUGUCUGAAAAUGCCAGUUUAUAGUUUAGAAGGAACUGGGAACAGCCUUGGUGAAGUGAGGAGACUCAUUGGUUACCCACAAACCAUGUCAGCCAACCUAUUACACUGUGGCCAAAGCUCGGAUCUAUGCCCGCCCUCGGCCUUCUUAUGGUGAGGCGUAAUUGAGGGCCUGUAUACCAGGCCUUUCUAGGCCUUUCCAGUAUUGCCCCACAUCGACCUUGAUGCCUUCCUCUGAAUCCUUGAUUACCAAAUGUCAACAGGCAGCCGGUCAGCUUGGGAUGGGUCCUGCAAGGCUACUGCAAGACAGGCGAAUGACAGGCCAGCUCAUCAACAAGGUACACAUCGGGCAAACGUCAGGAAAAACUGGUCUUUCCA